rnacentral:rRNA from 1 species
UACGUAGGUGGCAAGCGUUGUCCGGAAUUAUUGGGCGUAAAGCGCGCGCAGGCGGCCUCCUAAGUCCGAUGUGAAAGCCCACGGCUCAACCGUGGAGGGUCAUUGGAAACUGGGGGGACUUGAGUGCAGGAGAGAAGAGUGGAAUUCCACGGUGUAGCGGUGAAAUGCGUAGAGAUGUGGAGGAACACCAGUGGCGAAGGC